rnacentral:snRNA from 1 species
GGAUGUGAGGGCGAUUUGGCUGUGACAUCUGUCACCCCAUUGAUCACUAGGGUUGACUCAGAUAUCUGGCUGGCUUGGCAGGUGUCCCCUUCCUCCCUCAUUGCUCCAUGUGCAUCCGUCCCGAAGCUGUGCACUCAGUUGAAGAGAACGACCAUACCUGAUAGAGGAGGACCAUUCUUUGGUCAAGGGUAUACAAGUUGCUGUGCUCCCCUAGUUAGAACCUCCAAACAAGCUCUUAAGGUCUGUUUUUUUUUUUUUUUUUUUUUUUGGUUUUUUUGUUUUGUUUUGUUUUGUUUUUGUUUUUUUUUUUUAGAUUCCACAUUUAAGUGAGAUCAUGUGGUAUUUGUCCUU